AUAUUGGGCAAUGGCCGAAAGGCUGACCCAGCGACGCCGCGUGUGGGAGGAAGCCCUUCGGGGUGUAAACCACUGUCAGGAGGGACGAAAGAGCGGGGAGUGAAUAAUUCUUCGCAGUGACGGUACCUUCAAAGGAAGCACCGGCUAACUCUGUGCCAGCAGCCGCGGUAAUACAGAGGGUGCAAGCGUUGUUCGGAAUUACUGGGCGUAAAGCGCGCGCAGGCGGGUCCUGUAAGUCGGAAGUGAAAUUUCGGAGCUCAACUCCGAAGCUGCUUCUGAUACUGCGGAUCUAGAGACCGGUAGAGGCUGGUAGAAUUACAGGUGUAGCGGUGGAAUGCGUAGAUAUCUGUAAGAAUACCCGUGGCGAAGGCGGCCAGCUGGGCCGGGUCUGACGCUGAGGCGCGAAAGCGUGGGGAGCAAACAGG
rnacentral:rRNA from 1 species